rnacentral:rRNA from 1 species
CAGCAGCCGCGGUAAUACGAAGGGGGCUAGCGUUGCUCGGAAUUACUGGGCGUAAAGGGAGCGUAGGCGGACAUUUAAGUCAGGGGUGAAAUCCCAGAGCUCAACUCUGGAACUGCCUUUGAUACUGGGUGUCUUGAGUGUGAUAGAGGUAUGUGGAACUCCGAGUGUAGAGGUGAAAUUCGUAGAUAUUCGGAAGAACACCAGUGGCGAAGGCGACAUACUGGAUCAUUACUGACGCUGAGGCUCGAAGCGUGGGGAGCAAACAGGAUUAGAUACCCCCGUAGUCCCUGUCUCUUAUACA